AGCUUGCUACUCUGCCGGCGAGCGGCGGACGGGUGAGUAAAGUCUGGGRAUCUGGCUUAUGGAGGGGGAUAACCAUUGGAAACGGUGGCUAAUACCGCAUGAUGUCGCAAGACCAAAGUGGGGGACCUUARGGCCUCACGCCAUGAGAUGAACCCAGAUGAGAUUAGCUAGUAGGUGCGGUAAUGGCGUACCUAGGCGACGAUCUCUAGCUGGUCUGAGAGGAUGACCAGCCACACUGGAACUGAGAGACGGUCCAGACUCCUACGGGAGGCAGCAGUGGGGAAUAUUGCACAAUGGGCGGAAGCCUGAUGCAGCCAUGCCGCGUGUGUGAAGAAGGCCUUAGGGUUGUAAAGCACUUUCAGCGGGGAGGAAGGCGGUAAGAGUAAUAUGCUUAUCRAUUGACGUUACCCGCAAAAGAAGCACCGGCUAACUCCGUGCCAGCAGCCGCGGUAAUACGGAGGGUGCGAGCGUUAAUCGGAAUAACUGGGCGUAAAGRGCAUGUAGGCGGUAAGUUAAGUCAGAUGUGAAAUCCCCGAGCUUAACUUGGGAACGGCAUUUGAGACUGGCUGGCUAGAGUUUUGUAGAGGGGGGUAGAAUUCCAGGUGUAGCGGUGAAAUGCGUAGAGAUCUGGAGGAAUACCGGUGGCGAAGGCGGCCCCCUGGACAAGGACUGACGCUGAGGUGCGAAAGCGUGGGUAGCAAACAGGAUUAGAUACCCUGGUAGUCCACGCUGUAAACGAUGUCGAUUUGGAGGUUGUGACCUANUGUUAUGG
rnacentral:rRNA from 1 species